UCUCCGCAGAUCCGGGAAGAUGCGGGCGCCCUCCAGGUGGCUCCUGCUGGGCCAGGAGCCAGAGUUAAGUUGUCUAGGUGAUUACAUUGUUGGUUUUGGAUCUAUUUUUUAAAUAUAAGCAUUUAAAGCCUGGCAUGCCCCUCUAAGCACUGCUUUAUUUGCAUUCCACGAAUUUUGCUGAGUGGAUUCCAUUGUGCAUGUACACCCUGGCUUCGCUAUCCAGUCAUCUGCUGUUGGGCAAGUUGGAAGAGUCCAGGGAAGAUGCUCUGUCUGGCAAGCAUUUCUCCUGAUUGGCCAUCAUGUUACCUGGACUCCUGUCAUGUUGUGAUUCUGCCACUUUGAGGGAUAUUUUUUAUAUCAAUAUUUUAAAUCAACUGGACUGGGCUACAGAUUAGGGAAGUGCAACACAGAGAAAUGAAAUGUCGAAGAUCACAGAGCCAGGAAGCCAGAGUCAGGAUCUGAAGCUCUAACUCUUGAAGCCAAGACCCUGGCUUUUCCAACUUGUCUCCUGAUUAAAUACCAAUAAAUGGUAUUGAAGAAGCCACCUGAAAAUAAUGAAGAAUUGGCCAAUGGGAAUGUGUUCAUCCACUUGGGAAUACAGAGUAUUGCUUGAGAGGGAGUGUGGAGAAUGCAGUUUGUAAUUAUCUAGAUUCUGGUGAGACCCAAGUUGAGGAGGCUGAGUGAACCAAUCUACGCUCUUCAUAC